GGCCCUAUCGUCUAUCGGUCAGGACGGCAGGUUUUCAUCCUGUAAAGCGGAGUUCGACUCUCCGUAGGGUCACCA
rnacentral:tRNA from 1 species